rnacentral:lncRNA from 1 species
CCCGAAGAAAAGGUGUGGUGGAUAGUGGUUCUCAUAUGAUCUUCGUGGGGUCUUGUGCCAGUUCAAAGAAGGUUCAAGCUACUGUGAUGGGUGUUGGCGGGCUUGGCGGUUCAAAUAAGGUUUCAAAUAGGAGCGCUUGAGAGCUAUAACAGUGGCUUGGUUUAAGUAAACAUGUAGCAUGGGGUCCACAGGGCAUUUAAAGUGGCUUGGCUGGGCUUUAGUGUGGAUAGCUGUG